CCUACGGGUGGCAGCAGUGAGGAAUAUUGGUCAAUGGACGCAAGUCUGAACCAGCCAUGCCGCGUGCAGGAAGACGGCUCUAUGAGUUGUAAACUGCUUUUGUACGAGGCUAAAUCCCGAUACGUGCAUCGGGUUGAUAGUAUCGUACGAAUAAGGCUCGGCUAACUCCGUGCCCGGAGCCGCGGUAAUACGGAGGAGUCAAGCGUGACCCGGAUUUAUUGGGUGUAAAGGGUGCGUAGGCGGUGCGACGCGUUCGAGGUGAAAUCCCGGGGCUCAACUUCGGCCCUGCCUCUGGUACUGUCGGGCUAGAGGGUGGUUGGGGUGAGCGGAAUGUAUGGUGGAGCGGUGGAAUGCAUAGAGAUCGUACAGAACACCGAGGGCGAAGGCAGGUCACCGAGCUGCGACUGACGUUGAGGAACGAAAGCGUGGGGAGCGAACAGGAUUAGAUACCCUGGUAGUC
rnacentral:rRNA from 1 species